rnacentral:rRNA from 1 species
AUGUAUAAAAGAUGCACUCUGCUAUCUGCUCAAAAAUGGAGCAGUAAUUUGGCUCCAGAGACUAUGCAGUGCUUGCUAUCUGCUCAAGCAUUGUGCCAAAAAAUGCUAACAUUUCAGGGAGCAGUAAACGAGACUCUGAAGAAAUAUAGUACGUUCAGAGCAAAAUUCUUAACUCAAAAAGCCUGCAUGUACAUACAUAAAAAAAAAAGAAGCAAACCUGCAUCCGCAAAAGAAAAUUCAGUUCCGGAAAAAGAAUCCACUAAAACAUGUAUGUAUAUUUGUGGCAACGUUAUAUCCACUCUCCAUACCACCUCCCUUCUCUCGUUUGUGCCGUGCGGGGAGAGCCACGUUAAUAUCUCCGUUCCCGGCUUGCCAUAA